CUGGCGGGAGCAGAACUGCACACUCGAAUCGUCCGGCGAGGACGGCACGAGGUACACGCGCUACCGGUCUUGCACGUUCGCGUUUUUCUUUCCGAACUGUAGCAUUUUCGCGCGCGGAGAUACAUUUUAUUUGAAAACGAAUUUUUUGCUGAGUUAUCAUGGAGAAUUUUAAUUAAAAGAAAAGUGGAACAUCAUAGUAUCUGUGCUUAUUGUUUUUUUUUAUUUUGUUUGCUUCACUCCAUCACGAAGUCUUACUGGUAUAUUUCUUUCAUGCAAACGCCUGCUAAAUCGAUGGUCUCUUCAUCUUUUUAUCAACUCAACGCAGAUAAGCAUCACAGUCAACGAAAAUACCAACGCCACCUACCAGACGCAUAGUUGUAUUAUACCCAAAUAAAACGGAGAAGGCUGCUCGUAAUCCAACGAGUGCAGAGCUCAAAUAUAAAAGAAGGCUCCCGUGCCGGUAUUUAGGGUAUGCAGAGUACGCAGCAGGCAGCAACGAACUGCCAAAAUACACCCACGCGCAAGCACCACACGAAUCUAGGCGGGAGCUCAUCGACUAUUUCACUCUCACCUGAUUGGAAAAGUUUUACCCUGAAUCCGUUGCUGGUGAAGUAAAGCUUGAGGCCACGAAAACACCUGUUGAACGGUGUUGUAAUUCAGAGGUAAACGAGUAUACUCGUGGAUGAAAAGACUUUGUGACGGUCUUAUCGGAGGUUGAAGUUUUUAUCAAUUUUUUUCGAUUGGAAACUAAUAUUAAUCAUGUUACAACUUGAAGGCCGCAAUCUUUUGUGAGGAGCAUGUUUUGUAUCUAGGUAGUGUUUGGAAUAUGACUCAUAAUUUAUAAACACUGAAUUGCAAAGCUAUGUUCAACAAAUUAUUUUUCUCUGUUGUUUUUCCGAAAAUUGUUGGUGGUGUUCUCGUGGGUGAGGUAGGAUUACGUCAGAAACGCGGACACCGCGAGCCUAGAAGGACCGUUAAUAGAACUGACACAAAACCAAUGAAGCGCACAAAACAACAAAAGUGCUUCGCUUUUUGCCUUUCUAUAAGCUGCGUGCAGCGAGCGGCUCACCUCGCUUGAACGGAGUAAUUCAGAGGUAAACGAGUAUACUCGUAGAUGAAAAGACUUUGUGACGGUCUUAUCGGAGGUUGAAGUUUUAUAAUUUUUUUCGAUUGGAAACUAAUAUUCAUCAUGUUACAACUUGAAGGCCGCAAUCUUUUGUGAGGAGCAUGUUUUGUAUCUAGGUAGUGUUUGAAAUAUGACUCAUAAUUUAUAAACACUGAAUUGCAAAGCUAUGUUCAACAAAUUAUUUUUCUCUGUUGUUUUUCCGAAAAUUGUUUCGGUGUUCUCGUGGGUGACGUAGGAUUACGUCAGAAACGCGGACACCGCGAGCCUAGAAGGACCGUUAAUAGAACUGACACAAAACCAAUGAAGCGCACAAAACAACAAAAGUGCUUCGCUUUUUACCUUUCUAUAAGCUGCGUGCAGCGAGCGGCUCACCUCGCUUGAACGGAGCUUAUUCAAAAGCACUGACAGUUGUUUGAUCUAUAAUCGAACCAGAGAACCAGAUAAAAAUGUAUAGCAUUUACGUUUUUGUCAUAGAUGUGGUUGAAUACAACUCUUUUCGCUACUUUUGCAGUAAAAGGAAAAAGAAGAAUCGGUUAGUUCUCAGCAGCGUUAUUUCGUUCUUGCAGCAAUCGAUUAGAAAAUUAGCUACGCUUCCACCAAGUGAACUCUAAUUUUAGUACGAUGACUGGUAGGUACUGUUGAAAAAUGUCGAGCCUUGUUGACCGCAGAUUUCGACCAACCAGAACUGAAAAUAAGGCCAAAUACCAGCAAACAACACACAACUUAUCUGAAGACUGUUUUCUUUUAACUUCUCUCGUUUUGGAGAUACACCGCACGAUGGGUCCGAAGUGCCGGAUUAUCAUAUUUUAAUGUACCUCGGAU